AUACGGAGGGUCCAAGCGUUAUCCGGAAUCAUUGGGUUUAAAGGGUCCGCAGGCGGUCAAUUAAGUCAGAGGUGAAAGCCCAUCGCUCAACGAUGGAACUGCCUUUGAUACUGGUUGACUUGAGUUAUACGGAAGUAGAUAGAAUAAGUAGUGUAGCGGGGAAAUGCAUAGAUAUUACUUAGAAUACCGAUUGCGAAGGCAGUCUACUACGUAUAUACCGACGCUGAGGGACGAAAGCGUGGGGAGCGAACAGGAUUAGAAACCCGUGUAGUCC
rnacentral:rRNA from 1 species